CGGUAACCCUCCCAAUCUAAUUUAUAAUGCUUUUAGAUUAUUUCACAACUGGACAUUUUUUGGUUUAUGGGCUCAAAGGCCACAUUCAUAUGGGCCGGACUUGUUAACUCUUUUUGCUUGGGCUCAAGUCAGGUGAUUGGCCCGUGAUAUCUAUGUCCCUGGGGCAGUAUAACAAAGCUAAUUCCCCCUCCCGGUUCCUCUCUGUCAUUUCACCAUAUCAAUAGUCUUCACCGGCGAAGGCAACUAUGGCGUCGGCGAUUGUGCGAUCUGGUGUCCAAUCAUUCGAAUGAUGUUCCAUCUCAGGUAAAAAGACAAGUAGGGAGACGAAAAACAAGCCAAUGGUUUGACAUCAAAUGUUAAGCACAAAUGCUUAUGCAAAUUUGCUAGAAUUUUUGUACCAACGCCGAGGCGCUAGGAAAGGCCCCUAUUACGCCUCGAACGACUUGAACUCCGUAGAAAUGCACGAGAUGAGGGCUCAAUAAUGAAGAAUUCGAGUCCGAAGAAAAAAAGAGAGAAAGAGGAGCUAGGUUGCUUUCGAGGAUGAUGAAUGGCUCACCAGGACUAUUUAGACGAUGGACGGCGAGUGAUCUCCACAACCAAGAGCCCCCGUCGCCUGCCUAGCGCCUUCUUGAACCUUGUUCGAACCUACGAGAUAAGCCCAAUCAUUCGAAUGAUGUUCCAUCUCGUGUAAAAAGACAAGAAGAGAGACGAAAAACGAGCCAAUGGUUUUCCCCUACAAUACUAACAAGAUUCCAAUAUUUUCUACUUGGCCACUCCACAACAACAGCAACAACAACACUAAUCAAUCAUUAAGGGCUUAAGAUAAUUAAUAAACCCCAUUAAUCAAACCUUUUUUGGACUAAUUCUGAUUCAGUCAUCACCUCCUCCCCCACAUUUCUUAAUCAUCUCCCUUUCUUCUUCUCUCUUCCUUCCAAGUUUUGAAGUCAAACCUGUAAAAUUUGAUCAUCCAUCUGCAAUCAUCAAAAAACACCAAAAAAACUUCAUUUGAAAAAGCUCUAGGCUUCAAUAAGAAAAAGCUUUAGGUUACCUCUCUACCAUUUAUUACUGCUGGUUUUUUUUUCAUGUAAGACCGGAAGUCAGCUUUGGUAGUAUCACACAGCUUUUGCUGAAGGUUUUGACCAAUUCAGUCCGGUGAAGUUUGGCAGAGUCGGAGCACGAGCCGAGUGCGGUCCGUCCAUUUAGAUGAACCGAUAGAGAAGAUGAUGGGGAUUGGAGGAAGCCAUAGCUGGAGGUUGAGGAGUGUUGACUCUUUGAUUCUUUGCCUGCUGAUCCUAUUUGUUCCAUCAGCUC
rnacentral:lncRNA from 1 species